rnacentral:lncRNA from 1 species
CUUGGGUUCUCCAGAAUCCUUGUUUUGCUCUCUAAAUCCCAUUUAGCACAUUUAGCCUCGAGCUACUUGCCAUUUCCAACAAGGAUGAAUCAAGCCUUUGGAUUUUCUAACAAAGACGUGUAUGGUGGGAAAUACAGGCCAUUGAUACCCAACAUCAGGGAGGAAGCCAGGAGUGAAGAAGAGCGUGGGCGUGCUGGGAGAGGGUGGAAAGUGGGCAGAUGGGAGGAGGCAAUGCUGAAGAUGUCACUGGAGUGAGUGGAAGUCGUGCAAAGGUAUGGGGAAGCCACAUGGGGAUCGGAGAGGGAGUGGGGGAUGUUUCCCCCUGUUGCAGCUGGUGCUUCAGGCACACAGGUGUUGGUCCUGAACAACCCAUACCCAGGCCGUCUGGGGCCUUCCCUUCUGCCCCGGCCUGCCUGGUCUCUGCUGCCAGAGCAAGGUCUGCAGCUUCCGAUCUCCCCGCCUUUCCCAAAUAUGCACGCCCUGUACCGCCGUCCCAGGCUCCGUGCCAGGCGGCAGCAGCCACUGUGCUCACACUCAUGUGUCGUGUCUCUCCUCCCAGGUAACUUGUUUCCGUGUUAACAGGUAAUCUUCCUGCUGAGGAUGUCAGGCAACAUGCCAACCUGGGAACGACCACCUUUGGGGCCAGAUGGACAUUUUGGUGCCCAUGCAAUCCCAUUGCCAAGGUUACCACCUGUCUUCAAAUAGGGCCCACCCAACAGAGUGAAGAAUCUAGCGAGCGACCACUUGGUCCUACACACUCGAAGUAUGAGUUCCUUAACAGAGGGACAAUUAUUCAGACUGGUGUCUUUUGUUUAGAGAUGGACUCUUUAA